GAAACCGGGGCUAAUGCCGGAUAACAUGUUGAACCGCAUGGUUCAACAGUGAAAGACGGUCUUGCUGUCACUUAUAGAUGGACCCGCGCCGUAUUAGCUAGUUGGUAAGGUAACGGCUUACCAAGGCGACGAUACGUAGCCGACCUGAGAGGGUGAUCGGCCACACUGGAACUGAGACACGGUCCAGACUCCUACGGGAGGCAGCAGUAGGGAAUCUUCCGCAAUGGGCGAAAGCCUGACGGAGCAACGCCGCGU
rnacentral:rRNA from 1 species